GGAUACUUAAGGGGAUACACAACGGCCUCCUUAACAGCGGUUUUACAUUCCUCUAGGCCUAUAACGUCAUCCCAAUGUACAUUUAAUUUGUUUACUAUGAUCUCCUGUGACGAUACAAAGAUAAAAUGGCGUCUUCUCUAUAUUAACAGCGGCCGUGCAGUGACUUACAAAAGUUCCGAACGGUUCCAUCCUGGGCGGACGGUUAAUUGCGUUCGGUACUUCGAGGCAGGAAGGUGAGUACAGAAUCGCUCCUCUUAGUACUCUUAUUAGAAGUGUUAUCAUCGAAUAUAAGUUUUUUCAAUAAAUUCUUAUCGUUUUACAAUCUUUCUAGAAUACAAUGACGUCAGCAAUCGAUCAUUUUCGCGAAUUUAUUGUAAAAUAAUUGGGGGAAUAUCUGGAGUUCUUUAUCGGUUUCGACUGUAAAAUCAGCAACUAUUCGAAUUUUUCAUUCAUAAUUGUGACAUUUUCGACUCUUCCGUUGCCAAGACUCUCUUGAGAGAUUUUUGGCACGUUCCAUCACCCUUGUUAAACGAGUGCACAUUGGUGGAUAUAUUGAUUUUAAAAACCAAUACGUGUACGAGAUUUAUUAUCUCACUGGGACAAAGAAAUCCGUUUUAUUCGCGAAUUUUCCGUGUUUCUUCUUAAUUUUCGUGAGUGUCUGGCGCGGAGCAUUAUUUGAAUGAACUUUUCAUCGUUCAGAUUAUAUUUCGUUUAAAAAGAUUGAAAUUGAUGUCGAGAAGAAAUGAAACAAGGUGCUCGGGCAUUCUUUCGUUUCCCGGGGAAAGAGAAAUAUGAAAAAAAACGGUCGUUCUUCCUUCUGCCAUUUUCGUCCAUUACCAAAAUGGCAUGACCCAAGUGUCCCGGGCCGUGAAUCAAUCAAGCGAAUUUUGAAUAAUUUUUGAAUAAUAUCCAGUUAAUAAUUUGUGAAACAAAUUAAUUUCAUUUUAUUGUUGGAAACAAAUUAGUUGGAUUUUUCUUUCUUUAGCAGUUUUUGCCAGAGUUGACCUGACGUGCUACUUCAGUUUCCAUCUUCGCUUCUUGAAACUUCCAACGUCCUUGGUGUUGGAGUCUCCUUGCCCAGGUGAGUACAUAGCUUCUAGAUACUCGUCGCUGUUCAUCCUUACGAGCCUCUCGAGCUUUAGUUGUCAAUUGUUAUCGUUAAAGGAAGAGAAGCUCGCGACAGAUGUUAUCAAACAAAUCGUUUAUUCUCGAAAAGUUCGAACUUGUUCGUUGCGUUUGAAUAUAUAUGGACGGACGCCAUUUUUCAUGACAUCAUCAUGAUUUGUCAUGUCGUGAGUAUAGCUUCUGACUACCAUAUGUUUGUGAUUUAUGUGAAAUUUGACCACUAUACCGUGAUAGAAUAAUAUUUCCAAUGAAUUAUAAAUAUUUUACAUUGUGAAUUAUAAAUAUUUGUUACAAAUUAUAUCGUACUUGAGAUGAAAAUGAACCAUAUAUCUGCUUAUGGAAUAUGAGGUAGUAAAUCAUUCGAAACAUAAUAACGAUUAAUUAAGCACAUAUACAAUAACGUUUACGAAUGAAUAUUGCGAAUUAUUGUAUGGCUUUAAUGCGGUAUUUAAUGUUUUGAUUGCGGUCUUUGAAAUGGUAUCAUAGGUGCUGAUAUAAUAUCGCGCGAAAAAGGAAAGACCAGUGGUUAAUAUUGCAGGUGCACCAGUGCGUUGCGCUCGUCGAGGGUGGUUUUGACGCUGGUGCCGAGGAAAGGCGCAGAACGUGUUCGAUCGACCCGCGAACGUAGCCUGUGCUCAUACUGCGACAGAGUUCGUUUCAGUUAGGCUCAGUCGCUGUUUGUCCGUCGACAGCGUAUAGUCGCGUCGGCCUACGAUUCCUUUUUUCUUCUUGUUUCUUGCGAACUCUCUCGCAACAGCCGUUCUAUACGUACGCCGCCAGUAUAUCGCGUGAUCAUCGUUCCCGUUGCUCCCCUUACCCUCUCACGUCCUUCGAAGAAGACCUCCCUUUGGUUUUUCCUUGUUUGGAGGGAAUUCAUCGCUCGGACACAUGGACUGCGAAGUACGAGGGUAUUCCAAUUUUUUAAUAUAUAAAUUUAGUUUCCUCUAUGGUGUUAGAGAACAUAACGCGAGCAUUUUAUGAUAUAACGAAUAUAUUCGUAUAUAUUUUAGUUUAUUCAUUCGUCAAAUUUCCCUAGUAGGCCGGCCUGCAGCUCACAUGCAGCACUUAGUAAAAAUUUGUUUUGUUAGAGGUUGGCCAUUCUUCUUGCUAUAAAAAUAUCGUGAAGUCAUAUCAUAUGAUAAAGCACCUUCUGAAAGCUAGAUGCUCGAUAACGAGCCUAAUGAUUCUCGGUAGUUUGUAAUGUCAAGCUUUGAAUUGGCGAGAUCGCUUUGCUGUCAAACCGCCGUCCAGCGGCGACCACAUUCUUUAACCACGUUCAAGGGGUAUAUCACGCUACAGAAACCAUCAAAGGGUUUGCAAGUUAGUUGCCUUUUAGAAGUGGGGCAGUUGGUUGUUACAUGUCAUCCGUAGUUGCUGGCUGUUCUCCUUAGUCGCCAUACAUCGUAGAGACGACGGUUAUAGUCGCCAGUUGUCCUUGCUAAUGGUUGCUUGUUGUCGCUAGUUAGUUCUCGUUAUCGUUAUGUAUUCCAUCAAUCACGCGAAAUUUAACGUAUGGGAUUUUAUUCUUCUUUAUUCUUUCUGUAGGGAGAUUUUUUAAGACGAGGAAAAUAUAGAAUAUUUCAAGACGACGGUAAGGUUUGAAUUUAAGUAACUAUUUUAUGAUACAACAAAGUGGAAAAACGAUUUAAUUUUAUAAAGUUUAAGGUAAUUUUUUAAAAAACUUCGAAUUUAAAAGAUUCAAAUAGAUAUCUUAAACGUAAUUAAACCCUCCAUAUCGUAAGAAAUUAAAUGAAAUUGCGCAAGAAAGUUAAUACAUUUAAUGUAUUAUUUUAAACAUUUAUUUAAAAACAUUUAUUUAAAAUUUAAGUGUAGGCGUUGACGCGCGCGCGCCAUUCGAAGCAUUGGUCAGUUCGUUACAUCUGCGGUAAAAGUUGUAACUACGAAGAAGCUUAACAUAUGGUGCGUCUCAAGACGACAGUAAAAAGUAUUAAGAGAUUUUUCGAGAUUUUUUCUUUUAAGUUUCCAAGUACUUUUUCUAUUUAACUUCUUUUUUUUGCAUUUUCUCACAAUAUUCGAUAAAUAGAGACGAAAUAUGACAGUUCUUAGUUCGGGGAUUUAUUGGUUCGAAAGUUACUUCAAAAGUGUUUCUGGAGUUUGUGCGGUUAAUACUUUUAAACUACUGAGUACGACUUAUUCCGUAUGGCUGGACAAAUCUUUGUUGAUACUGUAAGCGUAACUGGUCCGGAUAUUGUCUUGUGGAGAUAGAAAAAUACACGAAGUAUUGAUUGAACUACAUAUUUUUUUAAUUCUUUUUUAAUUCUUUUAGUUCUUCAUAUAUUGAUAAUAGAACGAUAUUCCGCUACUUUGAGCACAAUAUAGUAAUGUUUAAAUAAAUAAUAAAAUUUACGCAUUUCGUCUUCAUGCGUCGAUAAGAAAAUGCAAAAAAAGUUAAAGAAAGAUGAUGCGUAGAUGCGAAGUUUAGUCAGCAAUAAUAUUUAAAACCUCUAAAAUAUAUUGUACACAUUUAUUUGCAAAUAAGCUCAAUGAAAUUAAACUGUAACUGUGUUUUCAAUAAUGUCUUCGAUGUAUUGCUCGCCAUUAUGUCGGAUUAACAACUCUAAGUGAUCGACCUUAAUCACUAAAUGGCGGCCGUGAUUCAGUGGUAUAGCUUUACAUAUGACGGACAUCGCAGGCGCUUAUAAGACGUCUAUUGUGAAACGUUUCCAAUAGCACCGUUUAUGUGAUAGUGAAAUCUGAAUAUAUAUAUAUCGCUGAAAUAUAUAUCGCUUAUCACUUGAGUCUGACACGAUCGUUUUUAAAUAGAAUCACAAUUUUUUAUUCUUUACAAAAUCAGUCUAUAAAGAUUAUGUGCAAAUAAAAUAGAUAAAUAGAUAAAUGGUUGUACAAACUUAUAAAACAGAUAUUACAAGUAUAUCUAAAUAAAUGAUAUAUUUAUAAAUUGUAAUAUUUGAUCUAAAGUUUAAAUAAAUAAAAGAGAUACUCGUGACUUACAAUAAAAGUAUUUUUUUUCAAUUUUUAAACAAAGCAAAAGUGGAUAACAAUUUUUCAAAAUGUAAAAAUCAACACAAUGGUUGGUUUCUUUAAUUAAUCAAUAACGUUUAAAGUUAAUUAAUGUCCAGAGUGGUUUGUACAUUUUGUAUUUCGCCGUAUUUCAACGUUCGAUAUGUAAAUAGAACUUGAUGCCUGAAAUAUCGAAAAAAUAAUUAAAUCCGAUCGUUCUGUCGAAUUUGCAAAUUGUAUACUCGUGUAAAAUCGAGUGCGCUUGUGUAUGCUGAUACGAAAUGUGGUAGUAUAUUUUUCUUUUUUCGAUUAUCGUUAUCACUUUUUGUGUGGAAAAAUUAAUUCCGUGAAAUGGAAGUGCAAUCAAUACGGUUUAUCACGAAAUAAUAGCACAACGACGGUACAUAUUGGUAUUGACGUCAGCUUCACAAAAUUUCUCGAGUAUCGCGGUCGACUAUUUGGGUUAAGAAUUCAUUUUCAAGGUUCUACAAGCACGAGUAUCUUAUGGAUAUGAAAUUUUCAGUGUACAUUUUAAUAACCAUAUUUCAUAUUGCAUGCUGCGGUCCAAGAAAAAUCCGCAGUUAAUAUUCUGCUAAUCCCUGCUGCUUUUAAAGACCAUAAGUAAGGUCCGUAAGGUCGUCCGUAAGGUUUAAAAGAUUUCGAGUAGAUUUGUAUUACGUAUUUUAUCUUCUAAUUUUUAAAGAGAGGGUCGUGUUUAAUUAAUUGAAAAUGACGAAACUGUAAUGGGACAUUAUUAUCAAAUAUUAAACGUGGUUCCAUUGGGUACUUUUAUGGUCUUUGCGAGAUAUAUAUGCAUUAUAUGUUGCUAUUAGCAACGCGUAGCGAUGAACGAUGGAGAGCAGUACCUUCGUUAUCUCGUCUCGGCUGUGUACAUAUCAGUAAUGCACAGUACUCGUACUAAAUAUCUUACAAAUUCCAUACAGAUUUUCAGAUUAGUUUCGAAUAAUACCAACACGACCAUGAUAGUCACAGUACAGUAUUAAAUAGUGCCACUAUGCAUAAUACACUCCUAAAAUGUUUCUACAAAUAUAUUUGUCCGAAUAUUUUUGUCAGCUACUAUAUCCUAACCAGGAUUUAUUAAACAAUAUAUAGAUUUAAAAAAGAAUAUAUAACGACAUUACUUGUUUAGGCUAGAUUGGUUUAACUUGUAUAGUUUUAAUAACUGUGUAAGAUCAAACAAGAACUUAUCGUUAGUUUGGCGAGAUUUGAUUACACGAAGCAACAUAAUUGCUUUGAAACUCAGGACAGAAAACAAUGUCAACCGGUAGACGCGUUUGUCUGGUGAACGUGUAACGCGUGAAUAAUAGAUAGCGACAAUCACGCGAACGCUAGUUACAGCUGACUUGGCUUACAUUGUAGCAUUCAAACUAGAGUAUACGAGCCGUAAGCGCUAUUGAAAGUUCAAAGGCCGACUAGUGAGCUUCAUCCUAUCUCAUUUUUUAAUCAGGCGAUGGAUCGACGAAUCGUAUUGAUUUCGAGGAUUAUUAUAGUUCUGUGGCAAUUUUAAAGCGUGGUUUGUCUAAUCUUGUCUCGUUAGCUACAGACUCUUUGGCGAGCAGCCUGAAACUUGAUCCAGUUUCGAGAAAAUGAAAAAUUCGUUUCUUCUCUUUGCUUCCCUGUUCCCUCUUUCCUCCUUUUUCCCUUUUUACAUCGCGUUAAGACCCGUUAAAUAAUAUUGACUGCCGUGGACGCUGGCUGAGAAGUGCACUUUAUAACUAGCUUUAAAAUCGCUGACGUCGAUGAGGACAAAGGUAAGUUAGAGGGUCAUUUAUCUGAGCUGGUGUUAUUCGACCUGAACUCUGCAGCUUUUCAGAGCUUCUUUCGUUUUUCUUUUAAGAGCAGAGAUGUUAACUGGUCUUUUGUUACGUGUAAGAAGUAUGUACUAAAGCUUAUUUAGCACCAAUUGGUUGCUCAAAGUCGAGAUAUACAUACCUAUAUUAUAUUAAUACGUUACAGAAGAUUACGCGUUAGUUAGCUUAUGAGAAUUUAUAGUGUGUCACAGAUCACAAAAGCAGAAUGACUACUUUUUCAUAAACGAUAUAUGUAUAUGAAUUGAAAGUUUAACUAUUACGCCACAUACUUCUCUCGAUAAACGUCGUCGAGUGCAUAUUGUUAAAGAAUAUUAGCCAUUUGAAUUAAAUAGUUUCGAAGAUACUAAUGCUUCUGUGAAGUUUUUGCAGGCUGUUAAUUUUUUAUUGAGAUACUACAAAUUUUGAAUAACUUCGAUUAGAAAUAAAAAUCACAUUACAUUAACGCGUAGAAUGUAACGUAACGUAGAUAAUGUAAAUAUAAAUUAUAUUACAAGGAAAUAAUACGGGUAAGUAAUGUGAAACAUUCUGGUUAAAAUUGCAUCCUUUGAAGGCUAGGACACACAGUACUUACGAAGUAGAUUAAGUACCAAAUGGGGUACUUAAGAAAAUUCAUGUUGUCAUUGUUUAAUAAACAUCUUCAGCUAAUAGCUUUCUGCAAAAGCUGGUUUAAGUUAUGCUAGCUUAUUCCUUAUUAAUUGCAAUUAUAUUGUUCGUAUCUC